rnacentral:rRNA from 1 species
UAAUACGAAGGGGGCUAGCGUUGUUCGGAAUUACUGGGCGUAAAGGGCGCGUAGGCGGCUGUGCAAGUCAGGUGUGAAAGCCCUGGGCUCAACCCAGGAUGUGCACUUGAUACUGCACGGCUAGAGUGUCGGAGAGGAUGGUGGAAUUCCCAGUGUAGAGGUGAAAUUCGUAGAUAUUGGGAAGAACACCGGUGGCGAAGGCGACCAUCUGGACGACAACUGACGCUGAGGCGCGAAAGCGUGGGGAGCAAACAGGAUUAGAUACCCUGGUAGUCCACGCCGUAAACUAUGCGUGUUGGACGUUGGCGAGCCUAGCUCGUCGGUGUCGCAGCUAACGCGUUAAACACGCCGCCUGGGGAGUACGGCCGCAAGGUUA